rnacentral:rRNA from 1 species
AUUGAACGCUAGCGGGAGGCUUUACACAUGCAAGUCGAACGAGAGGCGGACGGGUGAGUAAUAUAUCUGAACGUGCGCAGUAGCGGGGGAUAACUACUCGAAAGAGUGGCUAAUACCGCAUACUAUUGCAGCGGCCGAUAUCGGAUUAGCUAGUUGGUGGGGUAAAGGCUCACCAAGGCAACGAUCCGUAGCUGGUUUGAGAGGACGACCAGCCACACUGGGACUGAGACACGGCCCAGACUCCUACGGGAGGCAGCAGUGGGGAAUUUUGGACAAUGGGGGAAAGCCUGAUCCAGCCAUGCCGCGUGUAUGAGAAGGCCUUCGGGUUGUAAAGCACUUUUGGCAGAGAAGCGGUAUCUGCAGAAUAAGCACCGGCUAACUACGUGCCAGCCGCCGCGGUAAUUC